UUAUUUCUAAAAGGUUUUGAGAUGAAAAGGCUAGUUUUUCUCAACAUCUGCUUCAUUGUUACACCUUCCUGCUCAUAGUUUUUCUUUAUUGCUAGAAUUUGAAGACUGUAGCCCAUUAAUUUUUAUGUCUUUAAUAAUCCUGUGCUAUAUAUUUUGAUUUUAAAAACAAAUUAACUCGAUUACUUUUCUUAUUAUCCUAGUAACUGAAGCACAUCACUUGUCAGUUGUACAGGUCUGGAGAGGGUCUUGUUUUCUUAUUUUCUGUGCCAUUGGGGUGUGGAUUUCUUCUAUGAAUCUUCCCCCCCCCCUCCAGUCCCACCCUGACUUCCAUUGCACUAAUUUACUUGCUCAUAUGUCUUAAUUCCUAGCCCACUUCUGCUGUUUCUUGAAAGAUCAUUCUUUAGUGAGAGGGCCUGCCCUCUUCCUCCAUUUCUAUUUCUUCUCCUACAGGAGAAUUUGUAAUAUUUAGUUUUACAGCUUUUAAAGAAAAAUCUUACUCAACCAACUCAUUAAUUCAAAAAGUAUUGAGUAUUUUGAUAAGCCAGGCUGGGGGAUGGGCUUCUGAGUAUAGACAAGUGCCCUGCAGAGUUCCUGUAGGGAGCUGGAUUAUCAUGGUGAUGUCAGAGUGAGACUGAGCUUUAGAUCUGGUGCUCAGGAAGAGCUUUGAAAGAACAGGAAGAUCAGAAGCAGCCCAGCAUGCUAAGGCUGAGAGUGGGGGCAGUCCAGGUGGAGGGAACAGUGAGGGUAAAGCUAGCCUUGGCUGGGCUCCUGUGGUUGCAGUGUAAAAAGCCAGAGAGAGGCAAAGAGCAGAAGUGGGUAGAGGCCGGUGAUACAAGAUCUUGGGCAGGACAGAAAACAACAAAACAACAACAGCAACAAAAAACCUUUAUUAGUCUUUAAAGAGGCAGACAAAACAAAAACAGUCUUUCCCAAGAUAACCAUUAUUAGCUUAGGAAAGUAGAUGCACUUCCCUUUACAGAAACUUAGGCUAUAGAAUCUAAACAUAAGGCUAUAUCUAGCAUAAGUCAAGGAACUUCAUUCAUAUUCAGGUCUUUCUCCAGGAACCAGUGUUGUAUUAUUUCCAUUUAGCAGAAUCUGAUCUAAUUUGGUAGUCCUUUCUUCUGCUAUAGCUUCAAACCGAGUUGUCUUCAGUGUCAUAGUGACAAAGCCUUCAGAUCCUGGAAGUAUACAACAAUUCCAUUUCACUCCACCUACGGGAAUUCCUGAUCCACAUUCAUUGCAUUGUCCACAAGCUUCAGUGGCAGGAGCUGCAAAGAAAUAGUGAUAGCUUCGGCACCAUAACUGUUCUGAGUCUGGAAGGGUUGCUUAAGGAUUUCAAGCAAAGGCUUUCUUUUUCUUUUUUCUUUUUUUUUUUUUCUUUUUUUUUUGAGACAGGGUUUCUCUGUAUAGCCCUGGCUGUUCUGGAACUCACUUUGUAGACCAGGCCGGCCUCGAACUCAGAAAUCCACCUGCCUCAGCCUCCCGAGUGCUGGGAUUAAAGGGGUGUGCCACCAUGCCCAGCUAAAGGCUUUCUUACUCCUCUUUGGGGCUGGGUGGGAUGGUGGCAGACAGGUGGCUACAGGAAAACCUUGGGACGUCAGUUCUUUCCUUCUCCCUACAUGGGGACAGAAGUCGGCCCUCCAGGCUUGCACAGCGCUCAUCCUUCCUCACCAAGCUCUCUCCCUAGUCCUUCUGUAGGCCAUUGUUGUUCCAGUGUAAACUGGAGAGAAAAGGGGAGACAAUGAAAGGAAAAACUAUUGCUAGUCUUCAAACCAUUAGUUUGGUUUUUUUGCUGAAGUAAACUGACAGUGUAAAUAGCUAUGCUUUUUUUUUCUUUCUAAUGAAAAUGUAUUUCAUGAAUAUGAGUGGUUACUGAAAGAUUUUAACUUUUUUUUUGGUUUUUUCCAGACAGGGUUUCUCUGUAUAGCCCUGGCUGUCCUGGAACUCACUCUGUAGACCAGGCUGGCCUCGAACUCAGAAAUCUGCCCACCUCUGCUUCCCAAGUGCUGGGAUUAAAGGCGUGCGCCACCACUGCCCAGCUUAACUUUUUUUAAUAUUUAUUUUUCUUUUACAUGUGUGAGUGUUUUACCCGCUUCUAUGUAUGUGCACCAGGUGCAGCCUGCUCUCUGUAGAGGUCAGAAAAGGGAGUCAGCCACCAUGUUGGUGCUGGGAACCAAUCUGGGAUCUUCUGAGGCCUAGUUAGAGAUAGUAUUGCUGUGAUAAAGGAAACACCAUGACAAAAGCAGUUUGGGAAGGAAAGGGUUUAUUAAAGCCUUAUGUUUCACAGCACUGUUCAGUUGAAGGAACUCAAAGAGGGCAGGGACCUGGAGACAGGAGCUGUUGCAUAUGCCAUGGAGGGGUGCUGCUCACUAGCUUGCUCCCAAAGCUUGCUCAGCCUGUUUUGUAGCACCAGGACCACCAGCCCACAGGGAGCCGCACCCAUAAUGGGAUGGGCCCUUCUUCAUGAAUCACUAAUGAAGAAAAUGCUGUGCAGACCUACCUGCCUACACCUAUCUACCCCGAUCUUAUAGAGACAUUUUCUCAAUUGAGGCUUCCUCCUUUCAGAGGAUUCUAGCUUCAAUCAAGUUGACAUAAAACUAGGUAACAUAUUCUGUUAAACAGCAAGGUCUCUUAACCACUGAGUUAUCUCUCCAGCCCCUGCAUUCUUGAUUAAAUAUCAGCUUGCUAUUGGCAUGAAAAUAUUUAGAAUUUUUAGCUGCCCAUAAGAGUAGAAUGUUAGAUCUAGCCAAAGUAGAACUGUUCAGGGCAACAGUAAGCAGGCUUUGAGAAAGAAGCCAGGUGUCAUCACUGUAUUUUAGCUCAUGGUAGUUAUUUAAAAAUUGAAAGAAUGUAAAGGCAUAUGAGAUUGUGUUUACCAAAAGAGCAUAAGCUGAUCAACACAGAAUUAAUAUCUUUAAAUAGCUGUGUAGCCUGCACUGUCUUAAGAUUUAGCCUUUCUGUUUCCUAGCCAGACCUCUACAUGUUUCCCUGUCUUAUCUCUAAACUAUUUUUCUUCUCUUAGCUGACAUAACAGAAUGAAACCAAUAAGUGGCUAAGCAUAUUAUGGUGAUCUUGUUGCCUUUAAAAUAUGAGGGAAAAGUGUGGAAAGGGUGGGAGGAUAGGAGAGAUGUCUUAGCAGCUAACAUUGUCACACUCCAGCUGAAGACCUGGGUUAGCUUCUCAGCACCCUGAUAGGCAGAUAACAAUGACCUGUGAUCCAGCAUCAGGGGACCUGAUACCCUUCUCUGGUCUCUUGGGGCUCCUGCAUUCAUGUGCCCAUACUGCUACAUAAAGAUACACAUAAUUAAAAAUAAAUCUUAAAAAUAAUUAGGCAAAAUGAAUUCCAUAAUCUUUAAGACAUAUACUUAUAACCCCAAUAUUAACACCCAGUGCUUAUUUAUAAUUUGUUGUGAAAAUACAAAAUACAGAUAAAGGUGUGAUAGUGUUGUUGUUUUCAUAAUCCACAAUUUAAAAAAC
rnacentral:lncRNA from 1 species